ACUCCCAUUUCAGUACCUUCCACUCUCACUGCUAUGAAUGGACGGCUAUGCUAAUGGGAUAGAAAAAACACUGUCAUGGUCUGAAGGUGUGGCUAUCGCUCUGUGUACCCCACUGAAUAAAAUGACAGAAUAGAGCAAU